CAUAACAUAGGUAUUAAAGUUUACAGUGGCAGAUCCAGGAAAUUGAAACAGAGGGGACACAGAGAAGAACUUGCACAGAAGGACAAUCUACUGCAGCCCUGCCAUCGUUGGGGCUGAGAUAAUACAACUUACUAUCUUUUUAAAAAGAGCCAAUAGUUGAUGCAAUUUCAUAGAGAGGGAUUGUCUUCAACAGCGAUUCACUGAGACUGCACUAACAUGCAGCAGACGACAUAGCAUCAUCACAAGCUCACACAGAGUAGAGAUGGAUUUGACAGCUGAUAGUCAACCGACCAUCAAAUCAAGCGUGUCUGCCCAACUCGCAAACUGCUACAUACAUUUUAUUAAAUUUUAAUUUGUCAUCUUUGUAAGAAAAUUAUCUGGAAAUUACU